rnacentral:rRNA from 1 species
GAUGAACGCUGGCGGUGUGCCUAAAACAUGCAAGUCGUACGGCAGCAUGCUUCUCACCGACGUGAGGAAGAAAUUUUCAUAGAUCAAACUUCAAUUUUCAAAGAAUUUUCAAGUGCCAAUUUUCAAACUUUUACCCCAGUGGGUUUAGUUUGAAAAUUGAAAAUUGAUCAUUUUCUGAAAAUUGUGAAUUAAAAAUUAAACUUCGUCGCGUGAGUGAGAAGUGAUGGCGAGUGGCGGACGGCUGAGUAAUAUAUAGGAACGUACCCCAAAGUGAGGCAUAAUUCCGGGAAACCGGAACUAAUACCGCAUAUGGUCUUCGGAUUAAAGUCUUCGGACGCUUUGGGAACGGCCUAUAUCCGAUUAGCUUGUUGGUGAGGUAAAAGCUCACCAAGGCGACGAUCGGUAGCUGGUCUGAGAGGAUGAUCAGCCA